UUGACCUCGAAUCAGGUAGGAAUACCCGCUGAACUUAAGCAUAUCAAUAAGCGGAGGAAAAGAAACCAACAGGGAUUGCCCCAGUAACGGCGAGUGAAGCGGCAACAGCUCAAAUUUGAAAUCUGGCUCUCGGGCCCGAGUUGUAAUUUGUAGAGGAUGCUUUUGGUGAGGUGCCUUCCGAGUUCCCUGGAACGGGACGCCAUAGAGGGUGAGAGCCCCGUCUGGUUGGACACCGAUCCUCUGUAAAGCUCCUUCGACGAGUCGAGUAGUUUGGGAAUGCUGCUCUAAAUGGGAGGUAUAUGUCUUCUAAAGCUAAAUACCGGCCAGAGACCGAUAGCGCACAAGUAGAGUGAUCGAAAGAUGAAAAGAACUUUGAAAAGAGAGUUAAAAAGUACGUGAAAUUGUUGAAAGGGAAGCGCUUGUGACCAGACUUGGGCUUGGUUGAUCAUCCGGGGUUCUCCCCGGUGCACUCUUCCGGCUCAGGCCAGCAUCAGUUCGCCCUGGGGGAUAAAGGCUUCGGGAAUGUGGCUCUCUCCGGGGAGUGUUAUAGCCCGCUGCGUAAUACCCUGUGGCGGACUGAG
rnacentral:rRNA from 1 species